UACCGCAUGUGGACCAAUGGUUUCUAUUUUCUAACGUAGCUGCCUCUCUCUCGGAAAAAACCGAACACAACUAGAGACGAGAGGGAGGUUCUUGAUUAGUGAGGACAGAGGAACCAGAAUCCAAAAAAUUAAUAAUCCAUUUUUGUAUUGAUAUUUUAAAAAAGGAAUAAAAGAUUUACUUUGCAAAUCUUUCAAUUUUCGUUCUCUUCCUCUCAGGUGUCUGUGCGGCACGAAGAUUUUGGUGCUCAAUUGCGCAGAGAGAUCAGGUUUUCUUGCUUUUAAUUUGAUCUCUGAAGCUGUAAAUUUUGGUUCUUUAGACGGGUUCUUGAUUGUAUUGGGGAUUUCUUGAACUGGGUUUGAAUCAGAAUCCAUUCUUGUUGCUGGGGUUUUAGAUUUUAUUGGGGAGUUUUGGUUUGUCGAACUCCUUCAAUUCUGUAUCUUCUUCUGCAACGAAGUAAAGAUUGGUUUGCAAUUCUUGAGCUGCCGGUGUAUCAGACCUUUGUAGGCUGUUUUAUCUAUGAUUUCUUGAUUGAUUUUCUACCAAUAAAUCAAGUGACAGUCUCAAAGUUUUCACUUUGAAUUCUCCUGUCCUAAUUGGCUUUGGGAUAAAAUUGCUUCUAGCUUUUUGCAGAGUCUGAUUUUUGCUUCUAGGUUAUUCUUGAUUAUUUGAUAAAGAAAUCUUGAAUUGCAAUGGCUAACCCACCUCAACCUUCCCUUGGGUACUCUGUUACUGCUGUUCCCUCAAACCCUGACUCAUCAACCCCUCAACCAGAGAAAAAUUCUGUUCCUCCUCCUACAAUGUUACCUGGAGCUUCCCGAUUUCCUCCUCCUAAAUUGCACCAAGAUCAGAUCCCUUCCCCUUCGUUCCAGAACCCAAGGUUGUUAUCACCUGCCAAUGGGGUUAAAACUGGGAGCCCAGUUCCUCAUUUAAGCACCCCUCCUGGUCCUCCUGUUUUUACGUCACCAGUCCGGCCUGCUGCUGUGCCUUUUCGGACUUCUCCUGCAACUCCUCAACCAGUUGCUUUCUCAUCAGGCUCAACAUUACCAACAUCCUCGCCUCCCCAUUUUUCAAAUGGUUCCAUUGAGUUGCAGCACCAAGUUCCCCUUGCUACAAAUGACUCCACACCUUUCGAGGAAUCAUCAUGUGCUUUGUUCUCUGCUCGCAAGGUGUUGAAGCAAAAGAAACUAGCAAAUGUACCGAGUUUGGGCUUUGGGGCAUUGUUUUCUCCUGGGGGAGAGAUUUCUCCUGGUCCUCAAAUAAUACAGCGUGAUCCUCACCGCUGCCACAAUUGUGGAGCUUAUGCAAAUCUUUAUUGCAAGAUUUUACUCGGUUCAGGCCAGUGGCAAUGUGUAAUUUGCCAGAAACUGAAUGGAAGUGAAGGUGAAUAUGUAGCUCCAAGCAAAGAAGAACUUCGCAACUUGCCAGAACUUUCAUCACCCAUCAUUGAUUAUAUUCAAAUUGGGAACAAGAGACCUGGUUUUAUUCCAGUUUCUGAUUCCAGAAUGUCUGCACCCACUGUUCUUGUUAUAGAUGAGUGUUUAGAUGAAACCCACCUGCAGCAUUUACAAAGCUCUUUGCAUGCAUUUGUCGAUUCACUCCCCCCUACAGCAAGAAUUGGAAUAAUACUAUAUGGCCGUACAGUAUCAGUUUAUGAUUUUUCAGAGGAAUUAAUGGCAUCUGCUGAUGUACUUCCUGGUGACAAAUCACCUACCCGAGAGUCCUUGAAAGCAUUGAUUUAUGGAACUGGUGUGUACUUGUCGCCGAUGCAUGCUUCAAAGGAAGUGGCACACAAAAUAUUCUCAUCUUUGAGACCAUUCGGAUUGAACAUUGCAGAAUCUUCAAGAGACCGGUGCCUGGGUACUGCAGUUGAGGUUGCUCUGGCUAUAAUUCAAGGACCAUCAGCAGAAAUGUCUCGAGGCAUAAUUAAAAGGGCUGGAGGUAAUAGCAGGAUUAUCGCGUGUGCUGGGGGACCAAAUACAUAUGGCCCUGGAUCAGUCCCGCAUUCUUUUAGCCAUCCAAAUUAUCCUCAUAUGGAAAAAACAGCAUUGAAAUGGAUGGAGAAUCUGGGUCGUGAAGCGCAUAGACAUAAUACAGUAGUUGAUAUUCUAUGUGCUGGAACUUGCCCUGUUAGAAUUCCAGUCCUGCAGCCUCUUGCAAAAGCUUCUGGAGGUGUUUUGGUUCUUCAUGAUGACUUUGGAGAGGCCUUUGGUGUGAAUUUGCAAAGGGCAGCUUCUAGGGCAUCACGUUUCCAUGGCUUGUUGGAGAUUCGAUGUUCUGAUGAUAUUCUAAUUACUCAAGUUGUGGGUCCUGGUGAAGAGGCACAUGUAGACACACAUGAAACUUUUAAGAACAACAAUGCUCUCUGCAUUCAAAUGCUAAGUGUUGAAGAAACACAGAGCUUUGCACUUUCUAUGGAAACUAAAGAAGACAUCAAAAGUGAUUGUGUAUUUUUCCAGUUUGCUGUUCGAUACGCUAAUGUUUAUCAAGCUGAUAUUUCAAGAGUGGUUACUGUCAGGUUGCCAACUGUGGAUAGUGUUUCAGCAUAUCUUGAAAGUGUUCAGGAUGAAGUGGCUGCAAUCCUCAUGGCCAAGAGAACCCUCUUGCGAGCCAAAAACCAUUCAGAUGUCAUGGAUAUGCGAGGAACAAUAGAUGAGAGAAUUAAAGACAUUGCUUUGAAAUUUGGGUCCCUAGUUCCCAAGUCAAAGCUUCAUCAAUUUCCUAAAGAACUUUCUGCAUUAUCAGAGCUCCUUUUCCAUCUUAGAAGGGGCCCGCUUUUGGGAAGCAUUGUUGGUCAUGAAGAUGAGAGGUCCGUGUUGCGGAAUUUGUUUUUGAAUGCAUCUUCUGAUCUUUCACUCCGUAUGGUAGCACCUCGUUGUCUAAUGCACCGAGAAGGGGGCACUUUUGAGGAACUACCAGCUUAUGACCUUGCGAUGCAGUCUGAUACAGCUGUUGUUCUUGACCAUGGUACAGAUGUCUUCAUUUGGUUGGGUGCUGAGCUAGCUGCUGAUGAAGGAAGAAGUGCAGCUGCUUUAGCAGCUUGCAGAACAUUAGCUGAAGAAAUCACUGAAUUGCGGUUUCCAGCUCCUAGGAUCCUUGCAUUCAAGGAGGGGAGCUCUCAAGCUAGAUAUUUUGUUUCUCGGCUGAUUCCUGCACACAAGGAUCCACCGUAUGAACAGGAGGCAAGAUUCCCGCAGCUUAGAUCUCUGACAAUAGAACAACGGAUGAAGCUAAAAACCAGCUUUAUUCACUUUGAUGAUCCAAGUUUCUGUGAGUGGAUGCGUAGUUUGAAAGUGGUGCCCCCAUAACCAAGUUAAUCUGUAAUUUUACAUAAUUUAAUGGCUAAUGUACCCCCAGAAAAAGGGGUUCUUGGGAACUGCAUCCUGCUUUGCCCCCCUUGAUGGUGUCGAUGAGUAUUCACUAUCGUUUUGCUUUCUGGGAUGGAGAUUAACUGGUUACUACUGAAGAUGAUUGAAUCUAUUGUAUGAAUAUAACACCUCGCAAAAACUUGUAAGUCAAUGAUUUGUUCACUGAAGUUUUUGAAGUCUGAAGAUACCUUGUGAUUGUAAGGCCGAGGAUACCUUGUGAUUUUGAAGUCUGAAGAUUCGGUGUUGUUUUGCGGAGGAAAAUGUUUUCCUCAUUAUAUUUUAAUUAUAAAUGUAAUUCACACUAGAUGAAAACGGUGUUUCACUGUUACUCUAGACUUAGGCGCACUGUGCAUACCUACAAUGAUUUUUAACAAUUUUGGUCACUGAAGUUUUUCUUUUUGCCAAUUUGGUUCUUUUAUUUAAAUGAUUUUAGACUUCAAUUCUAAGAUUCUUUUUCAUCA